UCGUCAUGAUGAUUCCAAGUAUGGUUUCGCAUUUUAAAUUCAGAUUUACUUGUUGAUGAUACUCCUUGGCUGUCUGAACGA
rnacentral:snoRNA from 1 species